CUUCUCCGUGCAGAGCUCGAACUGGAUGACGGGUGUCCUGAGGCCCAGGACGGGGAGCUGGACGGGCUCUGGACGACCAUCACCAUCUUCAUCACCCUCUUCCUGCUCAGCGUGUGCUACAGCGCCACCGUCACACUCUUCAAGGUAAAGUGGAUCUUCUCCUCAGUGGUAGAGAUGAAGCAGGCAAUCUCUCCUGACUACAGGAACAUGAUUGGGCAGGGAGCCUAAGCCACUUCCUCUGGGAUGAUGAGAGCUUCGUAGCCCCCUCGGAACCCCGUCCAUCCACACCACCCUGUGACUCUGCCAUCCUCUGAGCCCACCCCUCUCCGAAUCAUCACUCUCGACUGUUGACCCUUUGGAGGACCAUGUGGGCAGCAGGGUUUGUCCCAGACCCGGACAACACCUCCACAGCAGCUACCAGAUAACUAGCGGGCUGGGGCCAGAAGGACUGUCUCCCUCCAAACCAGCACCAGAGCAUCUGAGACCUCAGAAUCUCCACCCAGGAGAAGCUGGGAGCCCACAUUGCCUGAGUCCAGCUGCACGGGGACAGGCCCCGGAGCUGUCCUGACCCAACCAUCCUCUGAGAGGGGUUUCCCAGAAAGAGCAAAGUUUUUAAAUCCUUGAAAGGAGACAUCUGCUAGGAAGACCAGGGAGCCCCAGAAGAGACUUCGGAAGGUCACUCUGGUAGCCUUUACGCCAGCAAUGCUGGGCAGCUUCCUUCCUGGAACGCCUGUGGACUCCAGGCUGAGGAACCGGCCUGUGCCUCUCAAAGUGUUGGGACAAGCCUCCUGAGGAUGGGAGUCCUCUCGCAGGGCCCUCUUCCAGCCAUCCACUCAACGUGCGGGAUUCUCAGACGCAGGAUCCAACCCACGAAAACCUCAAGACAAGGCCACUGCCACCUCCAGAGAGAUCCCAGCCACACUCUGGCAAGACGCUCAGAAGGACUGCAUCGCCUGGCCUCUGCAAAGGCCUAGCAGGGACAAGUGCAGAGGCCUCCAAGUACUGCCUGGGUGAUCAGCCAGGAGAGAGCUGUGGUGAGAAGAUUCCAGUCAACCCUCCCACCACGCCCCC